UACGUAGGGGGCAAGCGUUAUCCGGAUUUACUGGGUGUAAAGGGAGCGUAGACGGCGAUGCAAGUCUGAAGUGAAAGCCCGGGGCCCAACCCCGGGACUGCUUUGGAAACUGUAUGGCUGGAGUGCUGGAGAGGCAAGCGGAAUUCCUAGUGUAGCGGUGAAAUGCGUAGAUAUUAGGAAGAACACCAGUGGCGAAGGCGGCUUGCUGGACAGUAACUGACGUUGAGGCUCGAAAGCGUGGGGAGCAAACAGG
rnacentral:rRNA from 1 species